GGGAAUGUGGCUCAGUGGUAAAGUACUUGCCUAGCAUGCAUGAAGCUCUGGGUUCGAUUCCUCAGUACCA
rnacentral:tRNA from 1 species